UGGGGGAUAUUGCACAAUGGAGGAAACUCUGAUGCAGCGACGCCGCGUGAGUGAAGAAGUAUUUCGGUAUGUAAAGCUCUAUCAGCAGGGAAUAAAAAAAUGAAAGUACCUGACUAAGAAGCCCCGGCUAACUACGUGCCAGCAGCCGCGGUAAUACGUAGGGGGCAAGCGUUAUCCGGAUUUACUGGGUGUAAAGGGAGCGUAGGUGGUGCAGCAAGUCAGGAGUGAAAGCCCGGGGCCCAACCCCGGUAUUGCUUUUGAAACUACUGUGCUGGAGUGCAGGAAGGGUAAGCGGAAUUCCUAGUGUAGCGGUGAAAUGCGUAGAUAUUAGGAAGAACACCGGUGGCGAAGGCGGCUUACUGGACUGUAACUGACACUGAGGCUCGAAAGCGUGGGUAGC
rnacentral:rRNA from 1 species